CUCAUGAAAUGUUAAGCACAAAAUGUCAUUGGACAUCUCUCAAAGGGCACCACCACUUAUUCGAAUUGA
ensembl:ncRNA F49H12.10 ncRNA